GCGGCGGUGGCGGAACUGGCAGACGCGCAAGAUUAAGGAUCUUGUGGACAAUUAUGUCCGUGGAGGUUCAAGUCCUCUUCGCCGCA
rnacentral:tRNA from 2 species